UACGUAGGGUCCGAGCGUUGUCCGGAGUUACUGGGCGUAAAGGGCGCGCAGGUGGCGGUGUUGGCCCGGCGUGAAAGCCCCCGGCUCAACCGGGGGAGGGUCGUCGGGGACCGCACCGCUUGAGGGCGGUAGGGGCUGGUGGAAUGCCUGGUGUAGUGGUGAAAUGCGUAGAGAUCAGGCGGAACACCCGUAGCGAAGGCGGCCAGCUGGGCCGUCCCUGACACUGAGGCGCGAAGGCGUGGGGAGCGAACGGG
rnacentral:rRNA from 1 species